GACUUCUUUCUGUGUGAAGAUUGAGAGACAGAAGCCCAACUUGAAGGCAAGAAGCUGAAGCAAAGAUAUAACAAGGAAGAAUCUCUUAAGUCCUUUGGGGCAAUUUAUGGUCAACUGUAGUCAAUGUCCACUGGAGUGGUGUUCUCUCAGGCAGAAACAUAAAACAGAAGAAGAAGAACAAGAAAAAUACUUUAAAAUUCUUAUCUAAAAUGCACUUAGCAUCCUGCUAAAAGUACUCACAAAGUUGGUCCUUUCAGGAAAUGGAAAAUCUAGAAAGCCUGUGAAGAAGAUAGUAAACUCAAGACCCAAUUAGUAGUAUAAUAAAUGUAAACAAGCAAGCAACAUUAAAGAAAGAUACAUUAUUGAUAAUAAAAUCCGAUGUCUAU